UGUGUGUGUGUGUGUGUGUGUCUCUCUCUCUCUCUCUCUCUCUCUAAUAUAUACACACACAUACACAUUCACACA
rnacentral:miRNA from 1 species